rnacentral:rRNA from 1 species
CGCGUAGGCGGAUGGUUAAGUCCGGUGUGAAAGAUCAGGGCUCAACCCUGAGAGUGCAUCGGAAACUGGGCAUCUUGAGGACAGGAGAGGAAAGUGGAAUUCCUAGUGUAGCGGUGAAAUGCGUAGAUAUUAGGAGGAACACCAGUGGCGUAGGCGACUUUCUGGUCUGUAACUGACGCUGAUGUGCGAAAGCGUGGGGAUCAAACAGGAUUAGAUACCCUGGUA